GGCGCUGAGUAACACGUGGGUAACCUGCCUGUAAGACUGGGAUAACUCCGGGAAACCGGGGCUAAUACCGGAUGCUUGUUUGAACCGCAUGGUUCAAACAUAAAAGGUGGCUUCGGCUACCACUUACAGAUGGACCCGCGGCGCAUUAGCUAGUUGGUGAGGUAAUGGCUCACCAAGGCAACGAUGCGUAGCCGACCUGAGAGGGUGAUCGGCCACAAUGGGACUGAGACACGGCCCAGACUCCUACGGGAGGCAGCAGUAGGGAAUCUUCCGCAAUGGACGAAAGUCUGACGGAGCAACGCCGCGUGAGUGAUGAAGGUUUUCGGAUCGUAAAGCUCUGUUGUUAGGGAAGAACAAGUACCGUUCGAAUAGGGCGGUACCUUGACGGUACCUAACCAGAAAGCCACGGCUAACUACGUGCCAGCAGCCGCGGUAAUACGUAGGUGGCAAGCGUUGUCCGGAAUUAUUGGGCGUAAAGGGCUCGCAGGCGGUUUCUUAAGUCUGAUGUGAAAGCCCCCGGCUCAACCGGGGAGGGUCAUUGGAAACUGGGGAACUUGAGUGCAGAAGAGGAGAGUGGAAUUCCACGUGUAGCGGUGAAAUGCGUAGAGAUGUGGAGGAACACCAGUGGCGAAGGCGACUCUCUGGUCUGUAACUGACGCUGAGGAGCGAAAGCGUGGGGAGCGAACAGGAUUAGAUACCCUGGUAGUCCACGCCGUAAACGAUGAGUGCUAAGUGUUAGGGGGUUUCCGCCCCUUAGUGCUGCAGCUAACGCAUUAAGCACUCCGCCUGGGGAGUACGGUCGCAAGACUGAAACUCAAAGGAAUUGACGGGGGCCCGCACAAGCGGUGGAGCAUGUGGUUUAAUUCGAAGCAACGCGAAGAACCUUACCAGGUCUUGACAUCCUCUGACAAUCCUAGAGAUAGGACGUCCCCUUCGGGGGCAGAGUGACAGGUGGUGCAUGGUUGUCGUCAGCUCGUGUCGUGAGAUGUUGGGUUAAGUCCCGCAACGAGCGCAACCCUUGAUCUUAGUUGCCAGCAUUCAGUUGGGCACUCUAAGGUGACUGCCGGUGACAAACCGGAGGAAGGUGGGGAUGACGUCAAAUCAUCAUGCCCCUUAUGACCUGGGCUACACACGUGCUACAAUGGACAGAACAAAGGGCAGCGAAACCGCGAGGUUAAGCCAAUCCCACAAAUCUGUUCUCAGUUCGGAUCGCAGUCUGCAACUCGACUGCGUGAAGCUGGAAUCGCUAGUAAUCGCGGAUCAGCAUGCCGCGGU
rnacentral:rRNA from 1 species